AACGCACGAGACCUGCGGACCUGCGGAGGGAUCAUUAAUGAGAAGCUGCCCCUCGUGGGUAGACCUCCCACCCUCUGUGAACUUACCUUUGUUGCUUUGGCAGGCCCGUCCUCUGGACCGCCGGCUUCGGCUGGCCCGUGCCUGCCAGAGGAUUCCAAACCCUGUCUGUCAGUGUUGUCUGAGUCAAUAUGAAAUCGUUAAAACUUUUAACAACGGAUCUCUAGAUCGGAAGAGCACACG
rnacentral:misc_RNA from 1 species